CUUGUCGUGUUCUUUGUUACAUUUCUUACAUCUCUAGCUGUGUAACUAUUAUGCUUAUGUCUAUUUAUUAUUAUUUUUAUUAACUUUUCUAUCUGUAUGCUUUUAACUUCUCUAUGCCAAUAAAGGUUACUUUGAAUUGGAUAAUUGAAUGCCCUCUGUAUGCAGAUUGGAGGGAUCAAUAUCUUAAACCCUUAACAAUUGGGAUCAAUAUCUCUUCCCCUUUAUAUACAGUUUUAUUUCUGCUGUCUGGCACAGACGUCUAUAUAUUCCACAGGACCGCUAAACUCGUUAAAGAAGCCAUGGAAAGACUAAACUUAUUGCCCGCUUCACAAGCUCUUCAAGUUAAUUUUCCAACUUAAUGCUUGUUUGAGAAUGCUUAUUUCAUUAUUUCAUGCUUUUCUUAUUGUUUAUGUGUACUUAUAUUAGAUGUCAAAUACCAUUUUUAAAGAAUUGUUUAAUUUCUGUUUAUAUGUACAGCCUGACUGGCCACGAAGCAAUAAAAUAUUUGUAUAGUGUUGUCUGCUCUAAUUUGCUACCCUCUUGGUUUUUUUUUUAAAUCCUUUCUAUGACUCUACUGUAUUUUGAAAUUUUUCUUUUAUAUUUAUUUUGGUGUUCAUCUUGUUCUAAGCUAGUUCAAACUGGUAUCUGCCUAGGAAGGUAUCAAUGUGCAGAUGAAAUUAAAUUGUACUGAGAAGCCUCCCUGUAGGAAAAAAAGAACAUAUUUGAUGUAAUUACGUUGUGGAUAAUUCUAAUGUGUACACCAUACUUAUUAAAAUAUAUUUCAAAGUGUCAAACGGUCCGAUCUCUGUGUUUGACAAGGGAUGCAGCCUCUAUUUAGAGAACAGUUUCUGGUUGCUUCAAUGAAUGCUUUCACCUCAGUGAAACAUUACACUGCACAGAGCCAAAUAAUUGCUAAACAGAACUUACAGAGAGGAACCAUCAGUCAGAACAUAGAAAUGUUACCUUUUUUGGACUAUAAAUUUCCUUCAAAUUGUAGUCCCAAAAUAAAGUUUCCAACCUCUGUACACAACACCGAUAGUGGCCUUGUUUGCUGUUUUGCAGCACUGGGUUAUUAAUGUUUAACUUUCUCCUUCCUGAUGGUCAACUAAACUACUCUGACCUCCAGCAGGUAAUCCAUGGAAAUUACACGUGCUGCUAUAAAUCAAGAAUCCUUAUCUGUAAUGUGAAUCUGUCAUCCUUGCUCUUGAAAAUAUAUAUACAACUUGAAGAUUGACAAUGAAGACAUUGAAACUGCUAAAGAACUGUAUGCCUUGCUUCAACCAUCAAUCCAAAUGAAGAGUGUAGCCAAGGAAUCAGAAGAAGACCGAGACUUGGAAUGGUAACAAUUUAGGUAAAGGUAAAGGUUCCCCUUGACAAUUUUUGUCCAGUCGUGUUUGACUCUAGGGGGCAGUGCUCAUCCCUGUUUCCAAGCCAUAGAGCCAGCGUUUUGUCCGAAGACAAUCUUCCGGGGUCACAUGGCCAGUGCGACUUAGACACGGAACGCUGUUUCCUUCCCACCGAAGUGGUCCCUAUUAAUCUACUCGCAUUUGCGUGCUUUCGAAACGCUAGGUUGGCGGGAGCUGGGACAAGUGACGGGCCCUCACUCCGUCACGUGGAUUUGGUCUUACGACUGCUUGGUCUUCUGCCCCUGCAGCACAGGCUUCUGCGGUUUAGCCCACAGCGCCACCACGUCCCCUAGGAAAUAGAAAAAAAAACCAAUCAAGUGUAAGGAUGUACCACUGGAGACAAAGGCCAA
rnacentral:lncRNA from 1 species